rnacentral:rRNA from 1 species
GAUGAACGCUGGCGGCGUGCCUAAUACAUGCAAGUCGAGCGAACAGAUGAGGAGCUUGCUCCUCUGACGUUAGCGGCGGACGGGUGAGUAACACGUGGAUAACCUACCUAUAAGACUGGGAUAACUACGGGAAACCGGAGCUAAUACCGGAUAAUAUAUUGAACCGCAUGGUUCAAUAGUGAAAGACGGUUUUGCUGUCACUUAUAGAUGGAUCCGCGCCGCAUUAGCUAGUUGGUAAGGUAACGGCUUACCAAGGCAACGAUGCGUAGCCGACCUAAGAGGGUGAUCGGCCACACUGGAACUGAGACACGGUCCAGACUCCUACGGGAGGCAGCAGUAGGGAAUCUUCCGCAAUGGGCGAAAGCCUGACGGAGCAACGCCGCGUGAGUGAUGAAGGUCUUCGGAUCGUAAAACUCUGUUAUUAGGGAAGAACAAAUGUGUAAGUAACUAUGCACGUCUUGACGGUACCUAAUCAGAAAGCCACGGCUAACUACGUG